rnacentral:rRNA from 1 species
UACGUAGGGUGCGAGCGUUGUCCGGAAUUACUGGGCGUAAAGAGCUCGUAGGUGGUUUGUCGCGUUGUUCGUGAAAACUCACGGCUUAACUGUGAGCGUGCGGGCGAUACGGGCAGACUGGAGUACUGCAGGGGAGACUGGAAUUCCUGGUGUAGCGGUGGGAUGCGCAGAUAUCAGGAGGAACACCGGUGGCGAAGGCGGGUCUCUGGGCAGUAACUGACGCUGAGGAGCGAAAGCGUGGGGAGCGAACAGG